rnacentral:rRNA from 1 species
GGUUAAGCGACUAAGCGUACACGGUGGAUGCCCUGGCAGUCAGAGGCGAUGAAGGACGUGCUAAUCUGCGAAAAGCGCCGGCGAGGUGAUAUGAACCCUUGACCCGGCGAUGUCCGAAUGGGGAAACCCAGUGUGUUCCGACACACUAUCGUUAACUGAAUACAUAGGUUAACGAGGCGAACCGGGGGAACUGAAACAUCUAAGUACCCCGAGGAAAAGAAAUCAACCGAGAUUCCCCCAGUAGCGGCGAGCGAACGGGGAGCAGCCCGGAGUCUGAAUCAGCUUGUGUGUUAGUGGAACGGUCUGGAAAGUCCGACGGUACAGGGUGAUAGUCCCGUACACGAAAAUGCACUUGCUGUGAACUCGAAGAGUAGGGCGGGACACGUGGUAUCCUGUCUGAAUAUGGGGGGACCAUCCUCCAAGGCUAAAUACUCCUGACUGACCGAUAGUGAACCAGUACCGUGAGGGAAAGGCGAAAAGAACCCCGGCGAGGGGAGUGAAAAAGAACCUGAAACCGUGUACGUACAAGCAGUGGGAGCACCUUCGGGUGUGACUGCGUACCUUUUGUAUAAUGGGUCAGCGACUUAUAUUCUGUAGCAAGGUUAACCGUAUAGGGGAGCCGAAGGGAAACCGAGUCUUAACUGGGCGUUAAGUUGCAGGGUAUAGACCCGAAACCCGGUGAUCUAGCCAUGGGCAGGUUGAAGGUUGGGUAACACUAACUGGAGGACCGAACCGACUAAUGUUGAAAAAUUAGCGGAUGACCUGUGGCUGGGGGUGAAAGGCCAAUCAAACCGGGAGAUAGCUGGUUCUCCCCGAAAGCUAUUUAGGUAGCGCCUCGUGAACUCAUCUUCGGGGGUAGAGCACUGUUUCGGCUAGGGGGCCAUCCCGGCUUACCAACCCGAUGCAAACUACGAAUACCGAAGAAUGUUAUCACGGGAGACACACGGCGGGUGCUAACGUCCGUCGUGAAGAGGGAAACAACCCAGACCGCCAGCUAAGGUCCCAAAGUCAUGGUUAAGUGGGAAACGAUGUGGGAAGGCACAGACAGCCAGGAUGUUGGCUUAGAAGCAGCCAUCAUUUAAAGAAAGCGUAAUAGCUCACUGGUCGAGUCGGCCUGCGCGGAAGAUGUAACGGGGCUAAACCAUGCACCGAAGCUGCGGCAGCGACACUAUGUGUUGUUGGGUAGGGGAGCGUUCUGUAAGCCGUUGAAGGUGUGCUGUGAGGCAUGCUGGAGGUAUCAGAAGUGCGAAUGCUGACAUAAGUAACGAUAAAGCGGGUGAAAAGCCCGCUCGCCGGAAGACCAAGGGUUCCUGUCCAACGUUAAUCGGGGCAGGGUGAGUCGACCCCUAAGGCGAGGCCGAAAGGCGUAGUCGAUGGGAAACAGGUUAAUAUUCCUGUACUUGGUGUUACUGCGAAGGGGGGACGGAGAAGGCUAUGUCAGCCGGGCGACGGUUGUCCCGGUUUAAGCAUGUAGGCGGAGGUUCCAGGUAAAUCCGGUACCUUUUAACGCUGAGGUGUGAUGACGAGGCACUACGGUGCUGAAGUGAUAAAUGCCCUGCUUCCAGGAAAAGCCUCUAAGCAUCAGGUAACACGAAAUCGUACCCCAAACCGACACAGGUGGUCAGGUAGAGAAUACCAAGGCGCUUGAGAGAACUCGGGUGAAGGAACUAGGCAAAAUGGUGCCGUAACUUCGGGAGAAGGCACGCUGAUAUGUAGGUGAAGCCCCUGCGGGCGGAGCUGAAAUCAGUCGAAGAUACCAGCUGGCUGCAACUGUUUAUUAAAAACACAGCACUGUGCAAACACGAAAGUGGACGUAUACGGUGUGACGCCUGCCCGGUGCCGGAAGGUUAAUUGAUGGGGUUAGCGGCAACGCGAAGCUCUUGAUCGAAGCCCCGGUAAACGGCGGCCGUAACUAUAACGGUCCUAAGGUAGCGAAAUUCCUUGUCGGGUAAGUUCCGACCUGCACGAAUGGCGUAAUGAUGGCCAGGCUGUCUCCACCCGAGACUCAGUGAAAUUGAACUCGCUGUGAAGAUGCAGUGUACCCGCGGCAAGACGGAAAGACCCCGUGAACCUUUACUAUAGCUUGACACUGAACACUGGUCCUUGAUGUGUAGGAUAGGUGGGAGGCUUUGAAGCGUGGACGCCAGUCUGCGUGGAGCCAUCCUUGAAAUACCACCCUUUAAUGGCUGGUGUUCUAACGUAGACCCGUGAUCCGGGUUGCGGACAGUGUCUGGUGGGUAGUUUGACUGGGGCGGUCUCCUCCCAAAGAGUAACGGAGGAGCACGAAGGUUGGCUAAUCCUGGUCGGACAUCAGGAGGUUAGUGCAAUGGCAUAAGCCAGCUUGACUGCGAGCGUGACGGCGCGAGCAGGUGCGAAAGCAGGUCAUAGUGAUCCGGUGGUUCUGAAUGGAAGGGCCAUCGCUCAACGGAUAAAAGGUACUCCGGGGAUAACAGGCUGAUACCGCCCAAGAGUUCAUAUCGACGGCGGUGUUUGGCACCUCGAUGUCGGCUCAUCACAUCCUGGGGCUGAAGUAGGUCCCAAGGGUAUGGCUGUUCGCCAUUUAAAGUGGUACGCGAGCUGGGUUUAGAACGUCGUGAGACAGUUCGGUCCCUAUCUGCCGUGGGCGCUGGAGAAUUGAGGGGGGCUGCUCCUAGUACGAGAGGACCGGAGUGGACGCAUCACUGGUGUUCGGGUUGUCAUGCCAAUGGCACUGCCCGGUAGCUAAAUGCGGAAGAGAUAAGUGCUGAAAGCAUCUAAGCACGAAACUUGCCCCGAGAUGAGUUCUCCCUGAGACUUUAAGUCUCCUGAAGGAACGUUGAAGACGACGACGUUGAUAGGUCGGGUGUGUAAGCGCAGCGAUGCGUUGAGCUAACCGAUACUAAUGAACCGUGAGGCUUAACCUU